UUAUAUUUGCGUCGCUUUUAUAAAUAGGAGCGACGCAUAUACUAUUGUUAUUUGCGUCACUCAUUUCCUGAUAAAUGACGCAAAUGACUAUUCAGUAUACAAAAAAAAUGAAAUAAAAGCUUACGCUGCCGUUCGAAGUUCUUCAAAACACUCAGCAACUUCAACCCCAAAAUUCCCAAAAUUUCUAACAACAAAACCUAAAAAAUUCAUCCAGUAAAACCCUAGAAUUCCCCAGCGCUGCCAUUCCACCUGCAAACACCAGCAAAUUCAACAGCUAUACCUCGAAAAUUCGAGCCCAAAACCUACAAAUUUGACCACUAAUCGAUAAACCCAGCAAAUUGUAGGCAAAACCCGUAUAUUCGAGCCAAAACCCACUUUUUUUCGAGCAAAAGAUCGACCCAAAACCCCACGAAAGUGUGAGAGAAUUAAAGUUUGUGUUUCGAAUUUAGGGUUCUUUUAAUUAGUUGCAAUUUGUUUCGAUUAUUUGAAACUUAGGGUUUGUACUCGAUUCUAUGGGAUUUUGGCUUACUUUUGCAUAAGUUGCAAGCUUGCUUCAUCCGAUGGUUCAUCAAAGAAAUUUAUGGUUUUUUACUCGAUUCUAAGGAAUUUUGGUUCUAUUUUGGUGAAAUUUAUGUAGUCGAUUUCAACGAAGAUGGGAGGCAUUGGCAAGGUUACUGAGCAUAUCCUAAGGAUUUCUUUUGAGAUUGAUACAUGCAAAGAUUUACUCGACAAAGAUUUUUUUCUAUCUGUUAGAUUGGGACUAGGGAGCACAGAUACACCACAAGCUAGACUGUGGAAGAGCAUGAGUAAUGAAAGAACAUUUUCCGCCACCGAGGAUGAAGCUUACUUAUAUAAGAAGCUAGGUACAGGCGUCCGGUUCCAGUCUCGGAAUUGUAACUCUCCCGCAGGACAUCAGAAAACCCCGAAACAAUUCCGAUGUUGAGUCCUAGGCUGUAGUCGAUUUAAUUCAACUUAUAAAUAUAUUACAUGUAGUGUCCUCAACAAUUGGGUGGACGUGAGUGUGGCUACUACGUCAUGCGUUAUAUGUACGAAAUUCUUAAACAUCAUCAUAGCAAUGAUGAUCUUAUUAAGGAUUUUUCAAGAACUACACCGUACACCGAGGAGGAGAUAAAUGAGAUUCGAGAUAUUUGGGCAGAGUAUUUUAUAUGUAAUGUUGAACUUUAGAUUUACACUUAGCGCAUGUUGGACUCUUGUUUUGGAUUAUAGGCUUGAAAUGAAUGAAUUUGGUUAAUUGGUGUUGGGAUGAUGAGUAUAAUGUCUAUGAUAUUGAGAUGUAAAUUAUUGGACAAAUUUCAAAGGAGACUCUGCCGAAAUUUACAUUUGCAUUAUUCAAUAAUAUUGCAUUUUAAUUUCAA